ACAUUUGUGGGUAAGCCGACCUGAAAAAAACUCCUGGCUAUUCUUUUCUGGCUGCUCCACCCUCGUGCCUUGACGUCUGCUGUAUUUAACUUGCGAACUGGCUAAUCAAGUGUGGCCUCCUCAAACCAAAGUGGCCUUCACCGAAACUUAACCAGAUCUAAUUGUCUGCAGAAGUAGAGAUGGUGUAGUAGAUAAGGCACCAAACUUUCUUGGCCCGUGAAACGCAUGGAAGAAACCAGCCUACUUAAUUCAUCAUCUGUCCUCACUAGUGGUCAUAAAUGACCUUGACAUGGAUUUGAGAAGGUUCAGGGAUACAUUUCCAGCCAAACAAAUGCUGCAUGUUUCCAUCCAAAUCAAGUCCAAUUCACAACUCUGCUGAGUGAAAAGACAGACGCCCUAACUCACUACAAUUGAUGCUUACAGCUUGAGGAAGGAUUUGGGGAAAGAAACUGUACGGACAAAUCCUAUUGAAUUUCAACAUUGAAUUUCUUUUCAGGCGUGGAGCGCGUGACAUUUUUUUUUUCUUGAAAAAAACAUCGAAUAUUUUCGUUUCAAAAAAUAUUUUAAUCCAUAUUUUUCUAUUUACCUCCAAAAAAUGUCACCGAAACAAACGAUCUACAUUUUUUUUUUCAUAUUAUUGAUACAAGAAUAUUAUCUUUAUAGUAAUGCAUAAACUAAAUACUUUUUUAAAGGUCUAUAUGAUUGGUCUAUUUUAAAGUUUUUCUGGAUUUAUUCCCCCCCCCUCCCAAGCUGUUUUAUGGUUUGAUCCUCGACGGGUAAAUUCCGCAGCGAUUGAUUCGUUUCUUUGUUUCAACAGAUGUCUCACAGAUUAGCAAACUUCUGCUGUGGUAACAUGUUUGAAUGUCUCUAUAAAAUCUUGAAUUUCUUGACCGUUUAUUAAUUUCGGCUCAGAAAGAAAGUUUUGAAGAUUAAAAUGUAACAGAUGGGCUGAUUAAACAUGAACAUUCCCUCCCCUCUCCUCCUCUCCCCUUUUCUUUUAAUCAAUAAUCAUAGAGAAGUUGAAGCUACUGAAUCAUGGGUACGCAGAAGAAAUUCAACUUUUCUUAACUAUAUUUGCUUUAUAACUUUAUUUUACAUUUUUUUUAAAUAUUCCGAGUUUUUAUUAAUUUAAUUUUUGUUCUAACUCUUUUUUUAUUUAAAAGUUGCACUUUUUGUCUCAAUAAGAUGGCCUUUUAUGAAAUUCUUAGCGCCUGAAUAGAUAUAGGAUGUAGUUGUUAUUAUUAUUAUUAUACUUAUAUCAUAAUACUUAUUAAAAAUUUAAAAAGUUGUUUGAGGGCUCUUAAAGAAAGUUGUAAGUGGACGUAAUAAAAUGAAUAAGAUCUUUAAUAUUUCACUUUUGUCACUCAUUAUGGUGUGGUUGUUUCUAUUGGAUUCUCUUGAGUUUAUGUUUAAUAUGUCCUAUUAGCUAACAGCCUACUGUUAGGUGGUGGUCAA